ACGUAGGGGGCGAGCGUUGUCCGGAUUUACUGGGCGUAAAGAGCGCGUAGGCGGCUUGUUAAGUUGGCUGUGAAAGUCCCUGGCCUAACUGGGGAAAGUCGGCCGAGACUGGCAGGCUUGAGAGCGGUAGAGGAAGGUGGAAUUCCGGGUGUAGUGGUGAAAUGCGUAGAUAUCCGGAGGAACACCGGUGGCGAAGGCGGCCUUCUGGGCCGUUUCUGACGCUGAGGCGCGAAAGCGUGGGUAGCGAACUGAAUUAGAUACUCAGGUAGUCCACGCCCUAAACGAUGGACGCUAGGUGUAGGGGGUAUCGACCCCUCCUGUGCCGAAGCUAACGCAUUAAGCGUCCCGCCUGGGGAGUACGGCCGCAAGGCUA
rnacentral:rRNA from 1 species